UGGACAUGAUUUAUUUUGGACUUAAGCAAAUCUUUUGAUAUGCUCUCCCACAGUAUUCUUGCCAGCAAGUUAAAGAAGUAUGGGCUGGAUGAAUGGACUAUAAAGUGGAUAGAAAGCUGACUAGAUCGUCGGGCUCAAUGGGUAGUGAUAAAUGGCUCCAUGUCUAGUUGUCAGCCGGUUUCAAGAGGAGUGCCCUAAGGGUCGGUCCUGGGGCUGGUUUUGUUCAAUAUCUUCAUUAAUGAUCUGAAGGAUGG